UCACCUCCUCUUUUCCUCGCCUUGGCCCCCGCCCCCACUUCUUCCCCUGGGAUGGGAGUGGGGUGAGGUUUGGGGGAGGGAUCCUGCGGGCCGAGAAAGGGAGAGAAAAAGUUAAGGAAUCCCAAACGGAACUAAAGUUUCUCCUCUCCUGCGUCCUCCUUCGUCGCGCUCGGCCCUUGGGGCUGGGAGCUCAGCUCGGGACCUCCCGUCACGGAAGUUGGUUGAGUUGCAAGUUCCCCGUGGGGAUUGACGGGGAAUCUCCAGUGUCUGGGGCAGGCCAGGGAGGAGGUCAAGAUGACUUAAGGGCUGCUUGGGAGAGGGGGAUUCCGAGGGGAUUUAGGGGUCGCGGGAGGAGGAAGCCGGCAACCAAAGGCACCGGCUCCCCCACCAGGGUGUGCGGCCUGGGCCUGGCUGGGUGGGUGGCUCCUGGGUUAUCAACUCAGGGGCAGGAAGGCUUUGGCCUUGGAGCCGGUUCGGCUGCUUUGCUCCAGGCCCUGGCGGCCCUCGCUUUCCAGUUGACCUUGCCCCCACGAAAACAGGGAGCAUUCCCAGAGAGAAAGAGGGAACCCGCGGGGCCUCAGGCGGUUUGGGGGAGUCACGUAUCAACCGGGAAACCAGGGCAACGGACGCGACAAAAUCCGACCCAGAGAAGUGUCCUUUAACAGAGCGAAUGAGCUGGGGGCGUUUUUGAGAGGAGAAGACGGACCAGUCUAUUUUUGUGGUUAUUUUUUUUAAUAAAGGGAAGCGAGAAAUAAGGGACAAGGUCGCCCCACAUUUUCCCCUGGACCGAGCCAUGGGUUUCGACUUUCCGAAGGGCUGGCCAGGAAAAGACCAGCGCUCCAGACACCCUGGCGCGGAGGAGUGAGGAGGCUGGAUCGCUUCUAGGGAGGCCCAAGCCCGCGGCUGCUAGAAGACGACUUCGGAAAGAAAUCCGCCGAAAUCUGUCAUCCAGAGAGUGAGAGACAAGGCGCAGGGGUCCCCGAACCCCGGGAAAACUGGAAGAAAAUGUGUAAUGUGUGACUUGCUGGCAGGGCCAGCCAGGGGAGAUUUGAAAUGCUUUCGUGUUUUCAUUUACAGAGGUCGUCAUGGGCUCGGCACAAGGGGUUGGCCCCGGCAAGGUUAGCCUGUUUAGGCCCCAGAUGAGACUUGGGACGGCCCCGUGGCAGUCAAUCCAGGGAGCCAUUUGUCCCACCCCGCGGGAAACGCGCAGACUUUAUGGCCACUCUGUUUGUAUUAUCUGCGUAAGUCUUUCCCCGCCAGUUUGAUCGAAACUGUUCGCUUUUACGAGGACCCAACGAAAAUUCCCCGUCAUAUUUAUCAGCCGAGGAUAAAAAUUUAGUAUGGGAACUGAUAUUUCCUCAUUUAUGGGGCGAUGAAAUUAAAGACCAAAGCAAUUGAGAAUUAUAUGGCUUUGGGGGGGGUUCCCUCCCCCCACUUUCACAUCUCCUUUAUUUUCCUGCCUGGUGUCCCUGUCCCUGGAGUUUGGCAUCCCAGUCUCCUGCCCUUGCCCCCUAUCUUGGGGUCUGCUGGGCCCUCUCCCCCAGACCCAGGUGCCGCUUGACCACCUCAGCUUUUCCUCGUCUUUCUCUCGGUGUUAGUAGCUGGGGGCCGGGACAGCACUCCCUGAGCCUCUCUGCCCAGGCCAGGCUGGGAUCGGCUGGGGCUGUGGAAGGUUUCCAAGAGCCUCGAAGGGGAAGGGUCUGAGCCCAGCCCGGGAGCGGGUGAGGGAGGCGGCAGAGUGAAGGAGACAAACUCCAGAUAACCUCUCAAAAACAUCAUGCCCCACAGCUUAACCUGGGGAACCAGCGGGAGAGAAGCAGAGUCACUCGGCUUUGAGACCUGUCUCCCCUACCAGCCCGACCCCCAUCCCAAACUCACUCCUUACCUCAGCCCUGGGUGGGGAUGGAGUCGCUUUCAGAAUCCUUGCUAUUAUUAAUGGAAAUAAUCCCCCUGGGAGAAGGAGCCUCGCGCCUCCACUCCCAUCUCCUCACAAGAACGAAUAGUGUUUAAAGUUGAAAUAAUUAGAAGUAUGAUAAACAUGGCCCAUUAAUGAAAAAAGAAAUCAAAUUCAUCAGCCUAAGUGGGACCCCCGGUGGGACAAAUGUUUGCCUUUAAUUACGCAGGAUAAACGCAAACCCGGAGCUGUUAAACAAGAACCCGAAGACGCCGACUUGAAUAACUUGUUGGGUUUUUGCAGACUUGGGAUUCUGCACCAGUGGAGACGAAAGGAAGGAAGACGUGAGGGUGAGGACGGGGAGAGGGGAGCAUUUGUGCGGGUCUGGGAAAGUACAGUCAGGUGUGGGUCCCAGCCCUGCCCCCUUGGGCUCUGUCUUUCCCGAGGCACGAGCAAAGGCUGUUUCCAUCCUAUUGUCCGGGCCUGGUGUUCAAAGGCAUUCAGGCUGCCACGGCCAUCCCACUUGCCGCCUGCCGCCACUGCUGGGCGCCUACCGGCCAAGCCCCACCGGGCCAAGACCCUCAGGCCUGCACCCCAAGGGAACUGGAUUGGGGUCCAGAAGAACUCUAUGUUGCUAAAAUCACCCUGUUAAGCCAUUUCCCCAACUUUCCAGGAGUGCUGCAUCUAUGCCUGACUCCGAGGCUCCCUCUUCUUGCCUCAACUUGGGGGAUGUGAAAAUCCAGGGGCUUCAGGCCAGAGCGGGCUCAGGCUGCACCUACCUUUUGACCAACACCCCCUACCCCGAGAGCUCUGGGCCCCUGUGCCCUUCUUCCCGGUACCUAGACCCUGGAAGUGCAGCAGGGAUGAGCAGCUGGGCCUCCUGCCGCCAGUGGGACUGUGACCAAGGGAGAGGUGGAGGGUGCGCCUCGCAGACUUCAGGGUGGUUAGCGGGUUCCAGACGGCAGGCUGAGGACUGGGGCGCUAGGGGUCCCCAUGUGAAAACAGAAGGAGAAUCUAGUGCUCGAUGAACAGAAAGGAACCUCGGCUGCUUUCCAGGCUCUAGCCCUCAAAGCACCCCAGAGGCACCCUGAUUUCUCCAAGGAAAAUUAGUGGAGCUUCCCCACAAGGCUAAGGACGUCAUCUAGGAAAUUCCAAAGGUGAGGUGAAAAGAAGAAAGAGUGUCUUUCCCUUUGGGAUAAAAUAAUAAAAUAAAAUAAUUAUACAGUGUGUGUGUGUGUGUGUGUGUGUGUGUGUGUUGAAAUCUCAAGUGAAAUGGAAAACAAAAUCACACCAGUGGUUAAAAUUGCAGGGUUUUUCCCUCUUGUUUUGGAGGCCCAAAUAAAUCAUUCUCUUCUCAAAA